rnacentral:rRNA from 1 species
UUUUUAUGGAGAGUUUGAUCCUGGCUCAGGAUGAACGCUGGCGGCGUGCCUAAUACAUGCAAGUCGAGCGAACAGACGAGGAGCUUGCUCCUUUGACGUUAGCGGCGGACGGGUGAGUAACACGUAGGUAACCUACCUAUAAGACUGGGAUAACUUCGGGAAACCGGAGCUAAUACCGGAUAAUAUUUCGAACCGCAUGGU